GAUGAGAACGUAGCGAAAUGCGAUAAGUAAUGUGAAUUGCAGAAUUCAGUGAAUCAUCGAAUCUUUGAACGCACAUUGCGCCCGCCAGUAUUCUGGCGGGCAUGCCUGUUCGAGCGUCAUUUCAACCCUCAGGACCCUUUGGACCUGGUGUUGGGGCUCGGCCGCUACCCCGCGGCCGUCCCCGAAAGAUAGUGGCGGUCUCGCUGUAGCGUCCUCUGCGUAGUAAUUACACCUCGCACUGGAACGCGGCGCGGCCACGCCGUUAAACACCCCACUUCUCAAGGUUGACCUCGGAUCAGGUAGGAAUACCCGCUGAACUUAAGCAUAUCAAUAAGCGGAGGA
rnacentral:misc_RNA from 1 species